rnacentral:misc_RNA from 1 species
AAGUCGUAACAAGGUUUCCGUAGGUGAACCUGCGGAAGGAUCAUUACCAAUUCGAACCCUUGGCUUGUGCGGUGAGGGGGGGGGUGCGGUAACGCGCCUUUUUUCUCAUCGCGCAAACCAUUCAACCAACCUUUGAUUGUGAACUCUGGAACUAAAAAAGUCUUCCCUCGCGCCGCUGUGUGUGAGGGGAGCAAUUUUAUCCAACCCCACAAAAUAUCCACCAUGUGGAGAAAAAAGCAAGCGUUGAGCUCCGAAGAACAAAAGAACAAAAAAUGUCAUGUACAACUUUUAACGGCGGAUCUCUUGGCUCGU